GAUGAACGCUGGCGGCGUGCCUAAUACAUGCAAGUCGAGCGCGAGAUUGAGGAGCUUGCUCCUCAUGAUCGAGCGGCGGACGGGUGAGUAACACGUAGGCAACCUACCCUUGAGAUUGGGAUAACUACCGGAAACGGUAGCUAAUACCGGAUACGACUUUACUGCAUAAGCAGUUCAGUUAAAAGGCGGAUUUAUCUGCCGCUCAUGGAUGGGCCUGCGGUGCAUUAGCUAGUUGGUGAGGUAGUGGCUCACCAAGGCGACGAUGCAUAGCCGACCUGAGAGGGUGAUCGGACACACUGGGACUGAGACACGGCCCAGACUACUACGGGAGGCAGCAGUAGGGAAUCUUCCGCAAUGGACGAAAGUCUGACGGAGCAACGCCGCGUGAGUGAUGAAGGGUUUCGGCUCGUAAAACUCUGUUGUUAAGGAAGAACACUUGAGGUAGUAACUGGCCUUGAGAUGACGGUACUUAACCAGAAAGCCACGGCUAACUACGUGCCAGCAGCCGCCGUAA
rnacentral:rRNA from 1 species